CAGUAGAGCUGCCACAGCUCUCCGAGCUCAGCAUCCUUUUGUUCUGAAGCACAGCUGAGCUGUAGCACAGAAAGCUGUUCCUGGCAAAGGAUAUUACUUGGUGGAUGUGGUUUCCAACUCGCUCGGUGAUUUAGGACCUCAUCCAAAAAAGCAGUAAAAUCCACAGGAAAGCUCCCAUGAACAAUCUCAGCAAGGCUGAAAAGGAAAAUCUCUCUGGGUGUUGCCAUAACCUCCCAUCCACCAAGGAGCAGCUACGAUUCUACAACUCAAAGGAGCUAUUUAAAAUCUCCCUGUGACAGGAGAGGAUAUCUUCUUGCAUUUUCCAGCUCCAAACUUGUCUGUCACAAAGAGACACCCCAAACAGAAAGAGAAGCCGUCAGCUCUAUCUCGGAGAUCCAUUGGGAAGGAAAGGCUAAGUGAAAAGUUUCAAGGUGAUCUGAAACGUUCUGAUUUGCCUUAUUGUCUUGGGGAAAAAAAGACAGCAACAUGCAAUACCAAGAGCUCUCCAUCUCUCUGUCAUAUUCACCCCUUGUGUUUUAUGCUCCUAUGACAAGACGAGCCAAACCCCCACUUGUGACACCACUG
ensembl:lncRNA